rnacentral:rRNA from 1 species
UACAGAGACUGCAAGCGUUAUUCGGAUUCACUGGGCGUAAAGGGCGCGCAGGUGGCCGUGUGUGUCAGAUGUGAAAUCCCGGAGCUUAACUCCGGAACUGCGUCUGAAACUACAGGGCUAGAGCAUUGGAGAGGGUAGUGGAAUUCACGGUGUAGCGGUGAAAUGCGUAGAUAUCAGGAGGAACACCGGUGGCGAAGGCGGACAUCUGGCCCGAUACUGACGCUGAGGCGCGAAAGCUAGGGGAGCAAACGGG